rnacentral:rRNA from 1 species
UUAUAGAAUGGCAUCAUUUUAUAAUUAAAGUCACAACGGUGAAAGAUGAGCAUGCGUCCCAUUAGCUAGUUGGUAUGGUAACGGCAUACCAAGGCAACGAUGGGUAGGGGUCCUGAGAGGGAGAUCCCCCACACUGGUACUGAGACACGGACCAGACUCCUACGGGAGGCGGCAGUGAGGAAUAUUGGUCAAUGGGCGCAAGCCUGAACCAGCCAUGCCGCGUGCAGGAUGACGGUCCUAUGGAUUGUAAACUGCUUUUGCACAGGAAGAAACAACGCUACGUGUAGCGUCUUGACGGUACUGUGAGAAUAAGGAUCGGCUAACUCCGUGCCAGCAGCCGCGGUAAUACGGAGGAUCCAAGCGUUAUCCGGAAUCAUUGGGUUUAAAGGGUCCGUAGGCGGUUUAGUAAGUCAGUGGUGAAAGCCCAUCGCUCAACGGUGGAACGGCCAUUGAUACUGCUAGACUUGAAUUAUUAGGAAGUAACUAGAAUAUGUAGUGUAGCGGUGAAAUGCUUAGAGAUUACAUGGAAUACCAAUUGCGAAGGCAGGUUACUACUAAUGGAUUGACGCUGAUGGACGAAA